AUGGCUUCAUGGAAGAAAACUAUUGCAACCCCAUUCAAGAAAGCUUGCACUUUCUUCAACCAACAACCACCAAGGGAACAUAAGAAAUCUCAAAUAGAACAAGAGAAUCGUGUAAUGGAUCUUCAUGGUGAAGUCAUGGCUUGUGGUUAUGAAGAUGUUCAUGUUAUGUGGUCGAUACUUGACAAAUCAAAAUCGUCAUCUUGUAAUAUAACUUCUUCAUAG